CCUACGGGAGGCAGCAGUAGGGAAUUUUCCGCAAUGGGCGAAAGCCUGACGGAGCAAUACCGCGUGAGGGAUGACGGCCUGUGGGUUGUAAACCUCUUUUCUCAAGGAAGAAGUUCUGACGGUACUUGAGGAAUAAGCAUCGGCUAACUCUGUGCCAGCAGCCGCGGUAAU
rnacentral:rRNA from 2 species